UACGGGGGGGGCAAGCGUUGUUCGGAAUUACUGGGCGUAAAGGGCUAGUAGGCGGCCGACUAAGUCGGAUGUGAAAUCCCCAGGCUCAACUUGGGAACUGCAUCCGAUACUGGUUGGCUUGAAUCCGGGAGAGGGAUGCAGAAUUCCAGGUGUAGCGGUGAAAUGCGUAGAUAUCUGGAGGAAUACCGGUGGCGAAGGCGGCAUCCUGGACCGGCAUUGACGCUGAUCAGCGAAAGCCAGGGGAGCAAACGGG
rnacentral:rRNA from 1 species